rnacentral:rRNA from 1 species
UCAGCAGCGUAACACAUGUAAGUCGUACGCAUCGCAAGGGGAGUGGCAGACGGGUGAUUAACGCGUGGGAUCAUACCGUUUCCUUCGGAAUAGCUCCGGCAGGCUGGAUUUAAUCCUGCAUACGUCAUACGGGCGAAGGUUUUAUCGGCGAAGGAUUGACGUGCGUGGUAUUAGAUAGUUGGUGGGGUAAAGGCUUUGCAAGGAGGCGCUCUAUCGCUGGUCUGAGAGGAUGAUCAGCCAUAUUGGGGGUGACACCAGGCCCAAAUUCUUGCGGGAGGCAGCAGUCGGGAUUAUUGGACAAUGGGCGCAAGCAGGAUCUAUUCAGACCGCGUGACUGAUGAAGUCGUUAGGAUGGUAAAGAUCUUUCUCCUAUGCAGAUAAUGCCGGUAGUCGGAGAUGAACCCCGGGCUAAUUUGGUGCCAGCAGCGGCGUUAAUCAGAGGGGGCCUAGCGUUGUUGGGAAUUAUUGGGCGUAAGGCGCAGGUGGGCGGAUAUUUAAGUCAGGGGUGAAAUCCCGCAGUUCACCUGCGGAACUCCUUCUGAUACUGCGUGUCUGGAGUAUGUAGGAGGUGAGUGGAUUUCCGAGGGUAGAGGUGAAAGUGGUGGAUUUUGGGAGGACCCCCAGUGGGGAGGGCGGCUUACUGGUCCAUUACGGCCGUUGGGGUGGGAAAGCGUGGGGGGCAACCAGGAUUGGAUCCCCUGGUGGUCCCCCCCGUAAACGAUGAAUGUAGCCGUCGGGCAGUUGAGAUUCGGGGCGCAGCAACGCAUAACUUCCGCCGGAUGCAG